GCUGGCGGCAGGCCUAACACAUGCAAGUCGAACGGUAGCACAGAGGAGCUUGCUCCUCGGGUGACGAGUGGCGGACGGGUGAGUAAUGUCUGGGAAACUGCCCGAUGGAGGGGGAUAACUACUGGAAACGGUAGCUAAUACCGCAUAACGUCGCAAGACCAAAGAGGGGGACCUUCGGGCCUCUUGCCAUCGGAUGUGCCCAGAUGGGAUUAGCUUGUUGGUGAGGUAAUGGCUCACCAAGGCGACGAUCCCUAGCUGGUCUGAGAGGAUGACCAGCCACACUGGAACUGAGACACGGUCCAGACUCCUACGGGAGGCAGCAGUGGGGAAUAUUGCACAAUGGGCGCAAGCCUGAUGCAGCCAUGCCGCGUGUGUGAAGAAGGCCUUCGGGUUGUAAAGCACUUUCAGCGGGGAGGAAGGCAAUACGGUUAAUAACCGUGUUGAUUGACGUUACCCGCAGAAGAAGCACCGGCUAACUCCGUGCCAGCAGCCGCGGUAAUACGGAGGGUGCAAGCGUUAAUCGGAAUUACUGGGCGUAAAGCGCACGCAGGCGGUCUGUCAAGUCGGAUGUGAAAUCCCCGGGCUCAACCUGGGAACUGCAUUCGAAACUGGCAGGCUUGAGUCUUGUAGAGGGGGGUAGAAUUCCAGGUGUAGCGGUGAAAUGCGUAGAGAUCUGGAGGAAUACCGGUGGCGAAGGCGGCCCCCUGGACAAAGACUGACGCUCAGGUGCGAAAGCGUGGGGAGCAAACAGGAUUAGAUACCCUGGUAGUCCACGCCGUAAACGAUGUCGACUUGGAGGUUGUGCCCUUGAGGCGUGGCUUCCGGAGCUAACGCGUUAAGUCGACCGCCUGGGGAGUACGGCCGCAAGGUUAAAACUCAAAUGAAUUGACGGGGGCCCGCACAAGCGGUGGAGCAUGUGGUUUAAUUCGAUGCAACGCGAAGAACCUUACCUGGUCUUGACAUCCACGGAAUUCGGCAGAGAUGCCUUAGUGCCUUCGGGAACCGUGAGACAGGUGCUGCAUGGCUGUCGUCAGCUCGUGUUGUGAAAUGUUGGGUUAAGUCCCGCAACGAGCGCAACCCUUAUCCUUUGUUGCCAGCGG
rnacentral:rRNA from 1 species